rnacentral:tRNA from 1 species
UUUAAUAUGGCAGAUUAGUGCAAUGAAUUUAAAUUUCAUAUAUAAAGUUUACCCCUUUUAUUAAAA